UGACCGACCACUUCUUUUUCUGUUCUGUUUAGAGAUAAUCAGAUACUCACUGUCUUCAGCAUUGGUGUCUUCUAUUCUCAACGGCAUUUCUGGUGGCCACCCCAGGAGUCUCCCUGACCUGUUUUAAAACCCUUGGAAAUUAAGGAGAGAAUCCACUACAUAUAUUCCUUUGAAAGUUUCCACCAUAUAUGUUCAAAAAUUGCUGAAUGAGCACAAGGAUUUGAAGAGCAGCAAAGAAGGAGAGAAGAGGAGAGGAGAGG
rnacentral:lncRNA from 1 species